UCAGACGAUGCGUCAUGCAUAUCAAUAAGCGGAGGAAAAGAAACUAACUAGGAUUCCCUUAGUAACGGCGAGUGAAGCGGGAAGAGCUCAAAUUUGAAAUCUUAAAGGGUUCUACCUUGACGAAUUGUAGUUUAAAGAAGUGUUUUCUGUUAGAGUUUCGGUAAAAGUUCUUUGGAAUAGGACAUCAUAGAGGGUGAGAAUCCCGUAUUUGACCGUUAUUUCUAGCUUUGUGAUACACUUUCAAAGAGUCGGAUUGUUUGGGAAUGCAGUCCAAAAUGGGUGGUAAAUUUCAUCUAAAGCUAAAUAUUGGCGAGAGACCGAUAGCGAACAAGUAUCGUGAGGGAAAGAUGAAAAGAACUUUGAAAAGAGAGUUAAACAGUACGUGAAAUUGUCAAAAGGGAAGCGUUUGACACCAGUGUUGUUUUCUCGAAAAUCAAUUAAAAAAGGCAGGAUUUUGUGUUGUAUUGACUUUAUCAGCUUUCUGCACUCUUUUCUUGUCUUUUUUUAAUGCACUUUUCGUUUAACAAGUCAACAUCAAUUUCUUUUGUUGUAAAAGGGUCAUUGGAAGGUGGCUUUCUUUUCGGAGAAAGUGUUUAUAGCCUUUGGCCUCUGCAAUCGGAGAGAUUGAGGUCUGCAGCGUAGAUCCUUCGGGGUUAGAUACAUUUGUGCUAAGUUAUAGCCUUUCAUAGACAACUUGUUGACUAUGAUCAGUCAUGUAGCUUACUCGCUUAUGCUAUUUUACCUACGCUUAGGAUGUUGAUCUACAGAGCGAGAGU
rnacentral:rRNA from 1 species